UUGGUUUAUUGUUUGUAAACAGAUCGUUAAAUAGGCUUAUUUAUACACAAAAGUUAUUUAUGCUUAGCCAUAAAUAUGAAUUUAUUUCCCAGUGUUAGAAUUGGUUCUGGGUUUUCACAUGGUAAACCUGGGGUUUGGCAGAGUUGUGUUGUUUUAAGUAACUUCCCUUUAUGCCAUAGGGCCACUUUGGAAAUGCCAACUCAGUUUUACCAGUUGUCUGCAAGAAGGAUGGGAAAUUUCGUUUUACACAUACAUUACUUGAUCUUCACUUUAAAUCAGUAGGCAAUAACAACUGAUUUCUUAAGUAAGAGAUAGUGUAAGUUGUUUCAGAAAAGGAUUAUGGUACAGGAGCUUAAACAUUUAAAAAUUUUUAUGUGGAUUCAUGGUUAGUUUUGAACGCAAGUAUCCCAGAUUCCAGAAAAUAUGUUACCUGAUACCUUUGGUAGUUGUGCAGUGAAUAGGGGACAAUGGCUACCUUUUUGGCACUGGCAAAAAGGAGAGAUUUCUAGAAAUAGGAUUUGGCCAAUUGGAUGGUUGGGCGCUUUUGUAAGAAAACUUGUCAUCCCAAUUAUCUGCUGUAGUCAGGAACUCAAAACUGAAAAACUCACGGAGUUCGUUUAUGCCUUGUGCGUUCCAUUUUACUCUUUUUUCCUGCUUUUUAUCAUGAUGAUGGUGUGGCUUUUUUUUUUUUUUGAGACCGUGUCUUUGGGUAGCUUUGGCUUAGAGCUCCCUUACCUAGACCAGACUGACGUCAAAUACACAAGAGAUCCUCCUACUUGUACCACCCGGCUGACAAAUCUAUUCAGUAGAAUUUUGUCUAGAGGAUAAAGGACGCAGACUAACUCCGCGCAAACCGGAAACACUCGUUCCUCUCUGAAGUAGGCGUUUCAGCAGUGGGCGGAAACAGAACUACUACAGGCUACGCGUGUCUUCAGCGGAAGCUGCCCGGUCACAAAAAGUACACAAGCGACAAUCCUCUUGGGUGGAAACCGAAACUCAACAGCCAGGCGCUUUGCUUGCCCCGCCUACCCCUGCAGUUCCGGUUCCGACUGCCCGGAGCUCCACCCUAGCAAGGAAAGUCGUCCCGUGCGCGCCGCUUGCUGCCCAGUGCCGCGUGGGAAAGGCGGGGCUUUACGUCAUCUCCAGCGCGCCGCAGACGUCACCGCUGUGGCUGGGAAGCCAGGCGUGGCCGCGGGCCUGCGCAUGCGCACAUCUUCCGUGGGCCCCCUGGACUCCUUACCGUUACCGGUCUGCAGCGCUGUUGCCAUGCUGUGUCGCCAGGGUGCCGGGUGUCUCAGGUCACUGCCCACCUUGCGGCUGCGGGCGCGGGGACUGCAGCCCGGCCGGAGUAGCUUGCGGCUCCAGGCCCUCCCGGUGUGGGCGGCUGCGUCGGUGUCGGCUGCCGCUCCAGGCGGAUGGUACGAGGCCCUGGCAGCGUCGGCACCUGUGCGCGCCGCGGAGGAAGUGCUGCUGGGCGCGCAGGCAGCCACGGGGCUCCCCUGGUGGGGCAGCAUCAUGCUCACCACCGUGGCCCUGCGCGGCGCCGUCACGUUGCCCCUGGCGGCCUAUCAGCACUACAUCCUGGCCAAGGUGGAAAACUUGCAACCAGAGAUAAAAAGCAUCGCCAAGCGCCUUAACCAAGAAGUUGCCGUUUGUGCGCAUCAGUUUGGUUGGUCCAAAAGAGUUGCCAGGCUCACCUAUCUAAAGAACAUGAGGAGGCUUGUGUCAGAGCUGUAUGUGCGUGACAACUGCCAUCCCUUCAAAGCCACCGUGUUGGUAUGGGUCCAGCUUCCAAUGUGGGUCUUCAUAUCCGUUGCCCUCCGGAACUUCAGCACAGGGGCAGCACAUUCAGAAGCUGCUGUCUCUGUUCAGGAGCAGCUAGCGGCUGGCGGGGUCCUGUGGUUUCCUGACCUCACUGCAGUGGAUUCCACUUGGAUUCUGCCUGUCUCCGUUGGUGUUGUCAAUUUACUAAUAGUGGAGAUGUAUGUCACACACUUUGUGCGCGCUGUGUCCGUGCUGAUGAUCCCGAUCGCCGCCACAGUACCUUCUAUACGAACCUGAAGCAAGAGAAAUGACCAGUGCAAAGCCAGAUAGUAGUGACAGGAUUCAGACUUGGAGAGCUUCAUCCCAGGCAGGAUUCACCAGCCACAUGGUUUGCCUUCUGAGACCUGACUGCUUUCUGAUGCCCACACAGAGCUUGAGACACAUUCUCUAGUUCUCUACUGGCUGUGUUCCAGCCUCUUGGGCCUCUCCCAGAAUCUGCUGCUGCGCUCCCCGGGAUUCCGCCAUCUUUGCCGGAUACCAACAACCAAGUCGGAUUCAG